AAAUCCGAUUCAACCACAGGGUGGAUAUAUGAUAAUUGCCGAUUUUCGAAACCAAAGUACAAACAUUGAUUUAUCAAAGGAGACAGGAAAUUACAAAGAUAUACGAUUGACGAAGUGGCUGGCUAGGAAUGGUUUGAUGGGUUUUCCUGCUUCUGCAUUUUAUAGCACCGAGAACAAGCUAGUGGCAGAGAAUUUAAUUCGUUUUUGUUUUAUCAAGCGAGAUGAAAAACUGUGCGCUGCAGCUCGAGUCCUCCAUGAUCUGUUUUCUAAGAUACAAUAAACAGUAUGAACUUGUUAUACAAUAUAAUUUUAAAUUUAAAUAAACUCCAAAUAUUGUAUGUA